rnacentral:tRNA from 1 species
GUUUCCGUAGUGUAGUGGGUAUCACGUUCGCCUCACACGCGAAAUGUCCCCGGUUCGAAAUCGGGCAGAAACA